UGGGGAAUAUUGGACAAUGGGGGCAACCCUGAUCCAGCGACGCCGCGUGAAGGAUGAAGUAUUUCGGUAUGUAAACUUCGAAAGAAUAGGAAGAAUAAAUGACGGUACUAUUUAUAAGGUCCGGCUAACUACGUGCCAGCAGCCGCGGUAAUACGUAGGGACCAAGCGUUGUUCGGAUUUACUGGGCGUAAAGGGCGCGUAGGCGGCAAUUCAAGUCAUCUGUGAAAUCUCCGGGCUUAACUCGGAACGGUCAGAUGAUACUGCUUUGCUAGAGUGCAGAAGGGGCAAUCGGAAUUCUUGGUGUAGCGGUGAAAUGCGUAGAUAUCAAGAGGAACACCUGAGGUGAAGACGGGUUGCUGGGCUGACACUGACGCUGAGGCGCGAAAGCCAGGGGAGCAAACGGGAUUAGAUACCCAAGUAGUCCCUGAGCGGGCUGGCAAGGCGCAU
rnacentral:rRNA from 1 species